rnacentral:rRNA from 1 species
AUGAACGCUGGCGGCGUGCCUAAUACAUGCAAGUCGAGCGAACAGACGAGGAGCUUGCUCCUCUGACGUUAGCGGCGGACGGGUGAGUAACACGUGGAUAACCUACCUAUAAGACUGGGAUAACUUCGGGAAACCGGAGCUAAUACCGGAUAAUAUAUUCAACCGCAUGGUUCAAUAGUGAAAGACGGUUUUGCUGUCACUUAUAGAUGGAUCCGCGCCGCAUUAGCUAGUUGGUAAGGUAACGGCUUACCAAGGCAACGAUGCGUAGCCGACCUGAGAGGGUGAUCGGCCACACUGGAACUGAGACACGGUCCAGACUCCUACGGGAGGCAGCAGUAGGGAAUCUUCCGCAAUGGGCGAAAGCUUGACGGAGCAACGCCGCGUGAGUGAUGAAGGUCUUCGGAUCGUAAAACUCUGUUAUUAGGGAAGAACAAAUGUGUAAGUAACUAUGCACGUCUUGACGGUACCUAAUCAGAAAGCCACGGCUAACUACGUG